GGCACGACAAAGUACCGCUAUGAGAGCUGUCGGUGUUUUGCUGUGCUUUUCUGUGUUUACGGGAGUCUUCAUGGAGGAUAAAGAAGCCCCACGUUUUCAAGCAUGUCUCGGGCUUGAGGUGUAUGAGGGGGCGGAGUCUGUCAUGCUGCCCUGUCAGGUACCAGAGGAUGUUUACCGGGACGCCACAGCAGUGGUUUGGGACCGCAAGGACCUCAGCAUCCCAACAGUCCAUCUGCGUCUGCUGAGCGGGGAUGAUCUCACGAAACAGAAUGUUAUUUACUUCAACCGAACAUCGAUGAGAGCCGACGCUCUGCAGACUGGAGACCUCAGCCUCACUCUGAGGAACCCCAUAGUCAAUGACACCGGCACCUACACCUGCACCACCCGAAGAUAUGGACAAGAUCAGAGCAAGACCCAUUUGCAACUGAAGGUGGCAGAACGUCCUCCUCCUGGUCCCACUCCUCCUCCAGUCUGGCCCAAAGUUGUCUCGGGUGUCCUGGUUCCUGUGGUUCUCCUGGCUGUUGGCUUUGGUGUCUUCAUGUAUUUUAGAUAUAAAA
rnacentral:lncRNA from 1 species